AGAGAAGAGAUAUGAUGUUAGAUGAUAUGUGAUUUUGGGGUUUAGGGAUUUCAUUCUCGGUGUUUAGGGUUAAGCGUUGUAAAAUCGUUGUAAAAAUAACACGGGCAUGGUAACUUCGUCGUAAAUGGUUAAAUCGAUUCCACGUAAUUUCAUCGUAAAUGGAAAAACGCGGGCCUGGUAACUUCGUCGUAAACGCCGGCCUGAUAAAUUCGUCGUAAACCAACGUUUCGACGUAAUUUCGUCGUAAAUUUAAAAACGCGGGCCUGGUAACUUCGUCGUAAAUGAAAACGCGGGCCUGGUAACUUCGUCGUAAUAUUACGUCGCGUUUACGACGAAUCUUUUUCUAUAUAUUGAGACGCCGAGACGAGGCAGCCUCGUUCAUUCCUCCCAGAUUUCUCUCCUCUCCCUCUAAGGUACAUUCUCUUUCCUCCUUUUUUUUAAGUUAGUUUAGGUUAUUAAUUAGUU
rnacentral:lncRNA from 1 species